rnacentral:sRNA from 1 species
AAGCUUCUUCUUGAUUCUCAAAGCUUUGAUGGUUUCGCCGAAGUCCAUCUGAGUCUUUAUCUUUGUAUCUUCUAACAAGGAGACACUUCUUAGGCUUUUACGAUAAGGUAGUGGUUUAAGUACUUAUACUCAAUCACACACAUCACAUCAAGUCAUAUUCGACUCCAAAACACUAACCAAGCUUCUUCUUGCUUCUCAAAGCUUUGAUGGUUUAGCGGAAGUCCAAAUGAGU